GUAGGGAAUAUUGGGCAAUGGAUGCAAGUCUGACCCAGCCAUCCCGCGUGCCGGAAGAAGGCCCUCAGGGUUGUAAACGGCUUUUGACGGUGAAGAAUCGACAGGAUGCGUCCUGUUUUUACGGUAGCCGUUGAAUAAGCACCGGCUAACUCCGUGCCAGCAGCCGCGGUAAUACGGAGGGUGCGAGCGUUGUCCGGAUUUAUUGGGUUUAAAGGGUGCGUAGGCUGGAAGGUCAGUCAGCGGUGAAAAGCUGUCGCUUAACGAUAGUCUUGCCGCAGAUACUUCCUUUCUUGGAUGAGGAGGAGGCCACUGGAACGGAUGGUGUAGCGGUGAAAUGCAUAGAUAUCAUCCAGAACACCGAUUGCGAAGGCAGGUGGCUGUACCUUAAUCGACGCUGAUGCACGAAAGCAUGGGGAGCAAACAGGAUUAGAUACCCGUGUAGUCC
rnacentral:rRNA from 1 species